CCUACGGGUGGCAGCAGUGAGGAAUCUUGGUCAAUGGACGAGAGCCUGAUCCAGCAACGCAGCGUGAAGGAUGACUGUCCUAUGGGCUGUAAACCUCUUUUAUAUGGGAGUAAAAUGUUCCACGUGUGGGUUUUUGUAUGUACCAUAUGAAUCCGGAUCGGCUAACUCCGUGCCAGCCGCCGCGGUAAUACGGAGGAUCCGAGCGUGAUCCGGAUUUAUUGGGUUUAAAGGGAACGUAGGUGGAUUGUUAAGUCAGUUGUGAAAGUUUGCGGCUCAACCGUAAUAUUGCAGUUGAAACUGGCAGACUUGAGUACAGUAGAGGUGAGCGGAAUUCGAGGUGUAGCGGUGAAAUGCGUAGAUAUCACGAAGAACACCGAUGGCGAAGGCAGUUCACUGGACUGCAACUGACACUGAGGUUCGAAAGUGUGGGUAGCAAACAGGAUUAGAUACCCGUGUAGUC
rnacentral:rRNA from 1 species